rnacentral:snRNA from 1 species
AUGAUUGGAGCUCCUAGGGUCAUGAUUAAUGGCUCUGCAUAAUCAGGAUUUGCAAAAU